ACAAGUCGAGCAGGGAGGAAACUCGGGCUUAGUGAUCCGGUGGUACCGAAUGGAAGGGCCAUCGCUCAACGGAUAAAAGCUACCCUGGGGAUAACAGGCUUAUCUCCCCCAAGAGUCCACAUCGACGGGGAGGUUUGGCACCUCGAUGUCGGCUCAUCGCAUCCUGGGGCUGAAGUAGGUCCCAAGGGUUGGGCUGUUCGCCCAUUAAAGCGGUACGCGAGCUGGGUUCAGAACGUCGUGAGACAGUUCGGUCCCUAUCUGUCGCGGGCGUAGGAAAUUUGAGAGGGGCUGUCCUUAGUACGAGAGGACCGGGAUGGACGCACCGCUGGUGUACCAGUUGUUCCGCCAGGAGCAUAGCUGGGUAGCCAAGUGCGGGAGGGAUAAGCGCUGAAAGCAUCUAAGCGCGAAGCCCGCCUCAAGAUGAGAUUUCCCAGUA
rnacentral:rRNA from 1 species